rnacentral:rRNA from 1 species
UACGUAGGGUCCGAGCGUUGUCCGGAAUUACUGGGCGUAAAGAGCUCGUAGGUGGUUUGUCGCGUUGUUCGUGAAAACUCACAGCUCAACUGUGGGCGUGCGGGCGAUACGGGCAGACUAGAGUACUGCAGGGGAGACUGGAAUUCCUGGUGUAGCGGUGGAAUGCGCAGAUAUCAGGAGGAACACCGGUGGCGAAGGCGGUUCUCUGGGCAUUACCUGACGCUGGAGGAGCGAAAGCGUGGGGAGCGAACAGG